GUUAUUAAAUUCGUGUCCACAUCAGAAGUUGAUUGCAACUGCAAAGAGGUUUAAAAGGGCUAUCCGCCGGCGAGCGUCCUCGCCGAGGAAGCAACAAAUGGUACGUAUAAGCAAUGGGUUCAGACAGAGUGCAGAGAACUUUAAGUUUUUUUUAUUGCAGCGGCAAUUUAAAGCUCUCAUUUUGCACCCCCCUUUACAGGACCAACCAGCUAGUUAUUUUUGAACUGGCCGCCCUGUGUGACUGAAUUAUAACCGUUUUUUUUUUGGUUAAUCAGUAAUGAUCCUUCCGCAGGUUCACCUACGGAAA
rnacentral:misc_RNA from 1 species